rnacentral:rRNA from 1 species
CAUUCGGAUUGUAGGCUGAAACUCGCCUACAUGAAGCUGGAGUUGCUAGUAAUCGCGAAUCAGCAUGUCGCGGUGAAUACGUUCCCGGGCCUUGUACACACCGCCCGUCACACCAUGAGAGUUGGCAAUACCCAACGUACGUGAUCUAACCCGCAAGGGAGGAAGCGUCCUAAGGUAGGGUCAGCGAUUGGGGUGAAGUCGUAACAAGGUAAC